rnacentral:rRNA from 1 species
AACGAACGCUGGCGGCAUGCCUAACACAUGCAAGUCGAACGACACCUUCGGGUCUAGUGGCGCACGGGUGCGUAACGCGUGGGAACCUGCCCUUAGGUUCGGAAUAACUCCCCGAAAGGGGUGCUAAUACCGGAUAAUGUCUUCGGACCACAGAUUUAUCGCCCUUGGAUGGGCCCGCGUUGGAUUAGCUAGUUGGUAGGGUAAAAGCCUACCAAGGCGACGAUCCAUAGCUGGUCUGAGAGGAUGAUCAGCCACACUGGGACUGGGACACGGCCCAGAAUCUUACGGGAUGCAGCAGUGGGGAAUAUUGGACAAUGGGCGAAAGCCUGAUCCAGCAAUGCCGCGUGAGUGAUGAAGGCCUUAGGGUUGUAAAGCUCUUUUACACGGGAUGAUAAUGACAGUACCGGGAGAAUAAGCUCCGGCUAACUCCGUG